rnacentral:rRNA from 1 species
GACGAACGCUGGCGGCGUGCUUAACACAUGCAAGUCGAACGGUAAGGCCCUUCGGGUACACGAGUGGCGAACGGGUGAGUAACACGUGGGUGAUCUGCCCUGCACUUCGGGAUAAGCUUGGGAAACUGGGUCUAAUACCGGAUAGGACCACGGUCUGCAUGGAUUGUGGUGGAAAGCUUUUGCGGUGUGGGAUGGGCCCGCGGCCUAUCAGCUUGUUGGUGGGGUGAUGGCCUACCAAGGCGACGACGGGUAGCCGGCCUGAGAGGGUGUCCGGCCACACUGGGACUGAGAUACGGCCCAGACUCCUACGGGAGGCAGCAGUGGGGAAUAUUGCACAAUGGGCGCAAGCCUGAUGCAGCGACGCCGCGUGGGGGAUGACGGCCUCGGUUGUAACG